CAUGCAAGCCGAACGGCAAGUCUGGUAGCAAUACUAGACCUAGAGUGGCGUAAGGGUGCGUAACACGUAUGCAAUCUGCCCUGUACAGGAGGAUAGCUCGGGGAAACCCGAAUUAAUACUCCGUAAUAUAGUUGGGAGGCAUCUUCUGAUUAUUAAAACUGAGGUGGUACAGGAUGAGCAUGCGUCUGAUUAGCUAGUUGGUAGUGUAACGGACUACCAAGGCGAUGAUCAGUAGGGGAACUGAGAGGUUGAUCCCCCACACUGGCACUGAGAUACGGGCCAGACUCCUACGGGAGGCAGCAGUAGGGAAUAUUGGUCAAUGGGUGCGAGCCUGAACCAGCCAUGCCGCGUGCAGGAAGAAGGCCUUCUGGGUUGUAAACUGCUUUUGUCAGGGGAUAAAAAUUCCAUGCGUGGAAAAUUGAAGGUACCUGGCGAAUAAGCCACGGCUAACUACGUGCCAGCAGCCGCGGUAAUACGUAGGUGGCAAGCGUUGUCCGGAUUUAUUGGGUUUAAAGGGUGCGUAGGCGGUCCUGUAAGUCAGUGCUGAAAUAUCCCGGCUUAACCGGGAGGGUGGCAUUGAUACUGUAGGACUUGAGUGAAGUCGAGGUAGGCGGAAUUGACGGUGUAGCGGUGAAAUGCUUAGAUAUCGUCAAGAACACCGAUAGUGUAGACAGCUUACUAGGCUUUAACUGACGCUGA
rnacentral:rRNA from 1 species